GUCCAGACUCCUACGGGAGGCAGCAGUGGGGAAUAUUGCACAAUGGGGGAAACCCUGAUGCAGCGACGCCGCGUGAGCGAUGAAGUAUUUCGGUAUGUAAAGCUCCAUCAGCAGGGAAGAAGAUGACGGUACCUGACUAAGAAGCCCCGGCUAACUACGUGCCAGCAGCCGCGGUAAUACGUAGGGGGCAAGCGUUAUCCGGAUUUACUGGGUGUAAAGGGAGCGUAGACGGCGGCGCAAGCCAGAUGUGAAAGCCCGGGGCUCAACUCCGGGACUGCAUUUGGAACUGUGUGGCUGGAGUGUCGGAGAGGCAGGCGGAAUUCCUAGUGUAGCGGUGAAAUGCGUAGAUAUUAGGAGGAACACCAGUGGCGAAGGCGGCCUGCUGGACGAUGACUGACGUUGAGGCUCGAAAGCGUGGGGAGCAAACAGGAUUAGAUACCCCGGUA
rnacentral:rRNA from 1 species